AUUGAACGCUGGCGGCAGGCCUAACACAUGCAAGUCGAACGAGUGGCGGACGGGUGAGUAAUGUCUGGGAAACUGCCUGAUGGAGGGGGAUAACUACUGGAAACGGUAGCUAAUACCGCAUACCAUCAGAUGUGCCCAGAUGGGAUUCGCUAGUUGGUGGGGUAACGGCUCACCAAGGCGACGAUCCCUAGCUGGUCUGAGAGGAUGACCAGCCACACUGGAACUGGGACACGGUCCAGACUCCGACGGGAGGCAGCAGUGGGGAAUAUUGCAAAAGGGGGGCAAGCCUGAUGCAGCCAUGCCGCGUGUAUGAAGAAGGUCUUCGGGUUGUAAAGUACUUUCAGCAGGGAGGCGUUACCAGCAGAAGAAGCACCGGCUAACUCCGUGCCAGCAGCCGCGGUAAUAC
rnacentral:rRNA from 1 species